rnacentral:lncRNA from 1 species
AUUAAUACCACCAAUCCAUCAGAUCUUUCAAUUUUUGAUAUCUUCUUUAAUUUCUUUCUUUAAUGUAUUAAUUUUUUAUCUUAAGAAUCUUUAAUGUUAGUUUUCCCUCACUGUAUCCCAGAUUUACCCUGCCCUCUCAGGUACUAGAAUAUUGUUUCAUAAAGAGAUUAAUGUGAAAGUUAAAAUAUAAGGAUUAAAUGAUUAUGGGUUAGUACACAAACAUCUCUAAAAGAUAAAUAAGACAAAAUAUGCUACUAUAGUUUUGCUUGUAGGAAAGACAGGCAUGUGAGUGAUUCAUAAAUAAUGUCAAUGGCGUUCAUACAUAUAAAGUUUGUACACAGAUUUGUUACUAACAAUUAGCCAUUAAGAACAUAGUACAGAAGCAGAAACACAAAACAGAAAUUUGUUUAAAUAGAAAAAAUGAAUUACAUUGAGCCCUUGCCAUAUCAUUUUGUAUGUAAAUGUUACAUCAAUUUGUGUCUUUGGGUAAAUAAAUUCAGAGAUUUGAACAACCCAUAAAAAGUCAGAAAUAGUAGAUAUACUUCUAUUUGAGUUCCGUGCAUAUUUAUGUUUACACACUUAAAGAGUUGAGUACAUGGAAAUUAAAGAAUAAGUAGAUUAUAAUACACAGAUCUAUGGAAAAUUUACAUUUGCAAAGUAAUAUGUUUCAAAUUUUAUAUAAUUGAUAUAAUUCUACUGUUUACUUGAAAUAGAUUCUGAAGAUUUACUAUAGGAGAGAAAUAUCUAGGAAUAUUAAAAACUAAUAUAUAGUUUUAGUGGAUAUUUAACCACUGAACUAAAGGUAUUUUUCCAAUUAUAUUUUAAAAUAACAACACAAAACAAAACUACAGAAUAUAUCAAAACUUUAUUCUACCAGAAGCCAUCACAGUUAGUAGUGGUUUUGUCUCUUGAGGUUUGGAUAGUUAUUCAAGUGAAAAAUCUUCACAUGAUGAUAACUGCUAGGAGUCACCUUUGAUGGCAUAUUAACGACUGAUUUCCCCAUUUAAUAAAUUAAUAGGUAAAAGAAAUUCCCUAGCCUAUAUCCAAUUAUAACACAAAUUAAAUUGUUUGUUCUAGGCUGGCAGUGCAUUGAGCCUAUUUGUUUUGCUUAAAUUUAAUGAAAGUAAUAAUAUUAUCAAUAUGUCUCUAUUAACCUGUUAGAAGUGCUUAAAAGUCCUUGCUGUGUAUCAAACCAUACUGUUAAAAUUGUUUCAGGGUUAUUGCUUUUAUAGAACACUUUUUAAAAAUUAUGAUGACAUCCUGUGGGUAUAAUUAGUGACUGAAUAAAUCUAACUUUUCACAAUUUCUUGACAAGAAAUUAUUUUUAAAGGUAUUGUUUAGAAUUUCAUACUGCAUCAAAAUAAUUCCCACUCCUUCCCCCUUCAGACUCCUCUUGCUUCAUCUCAAAUUUAUGAUCUCCACUUUAGCUAUAAUUGUUCCAUAUGUGUGUGUUUGUGUAUGCACAUACAUAUAUGCACAAAUGUACAUAUGCACUGCUGAGUCCAUUUUGUGUAGCUUGUAUGUACAUUAAGGGGUGAUACUACCCAGGUUCUCUCCUGCUGGCAUUAGUGUUGCCAUUACUGGUUCAGGCAGCCAUACUAUAGAGAGCCCAUGAGUGCAUUUUACAUGUGGUGUCAAUGGGCCCACAAUAUAUUGAUAGGUGUUCUGGGCCUCCAGUUCUCUCUUCCUGCCCCAUGAUGAAUGACUUUCCCCUGAGUCUUAAGUUUCGGGGUUAUGUUGCAGAUGUAUAAAUUGGGAUUAGGCACAGCACAGUCACGUAUUCUGUGCAUUUAGACCAGUUGUGGAUUUCCAUAAUAGUCUGUGUCUGUCAGAAAAUGAAGCUUCUUUUGUGAAAGGUGAAAGCUGCCCUAAUCUGACAGAGAAUGACAGAUAGGAUUGAAGACUAAAAACCUUCCUUGAAUGUUGAUCAUCUUCCUUUCUUCAAAUACUUAUAAUUAGAUUCCUUUUUUGCACAAGUUAUAGAUUUUGUAAGUGGAAUGCUUCCUUGAUAAAGAAUGCAAUAAAAAUAUCAAUAUUAAAUAGUUAUUCUUAAAAAUCAGUAUACAUAUUUAUAAGUAAAAGACUUAAUUUUGUCUGAUCAGCAAGUUAUAAUAUUUUGUCCUUAGCUUUGUAAUACUAAAAAGCUAUAUUUUAUGAGCAUCGUUAGUAUAAAAAAAGUAUAUAAUUCAAAAUUGACAUGACAUUGUUUAGUGAGUCUCUGAACUUGUAGUCCCAAAAUCUUCAGGUUAAAUCUUGAUCAUACUAAUUUUUGUGUGAAAUUCUCAUUUGACUGUAUUUUGCUCUCUGAAAAACUUGGGGUUUAAUCACAUAUAAUUCAUACUUGUUAGAAAGUUAAUUUGCAAAAUAAUUUGACUGUUUAGUACAUAUGCCUUAAAUAUGCAUAAAUGUAAAUUAAACUUGGGUUUUUAGAUUCACAGAUCUUGAGUUGCUAAAGAUCUGUUAUGCUCUGAAGCAGCUUUCAUACCAGGGAGAAUCUGAAAGGAUUCUCUCUAUCCUGCUCUUUAUCUCC